rnacentral:rRNA from 1 species
GAUCAUGGCUCAGAUUGAACGCUGGCGGAAUGCUUUACACAUGCAAGUCGAACGGCAGCACGAGGGCAACCUUGGUGGCGAGUGGCGAACGGGUGAGUAAUACAUCGGAACGUGCCCAGUCGUGGGGGAUAACGUAGCGAAAGCUACGCUAAUACCGCAUACGAUCUAUGGAUGAAAGCGGGGGACCGUAAGGCCUCGCGCGAUUGGAGCGGCCGAUGGCAGAUUAGGUAGUUGGUGGGGUAAAGGCUCACCAAGCCUGCGAUCUGUAGCUGGUCUGAGAGGACGACCAGCCACACUGGAACUGAGACACGGUCCAGACUCCUACGGGAGGCAGCAGUGGGGAAUUUUGGACAAUGGGCGCAAGCCUGAUCCAGCCAUUCCGCGUGCAGGAUGAAGACCUUCGGGUUGUAAACUGCUUUUGUACGGAACGAAAAGGUUUUCCUUAAUACGGAGAGCUCAUGACGGUACCGUAAGAAUAAGCACCGGCUAACUACGUG